AUGCUUGUUUUAGCAGCAUAUAUGCUAGGCAUAAAAUGACAGAGAAAUUCAGUAUAAUUGCUGUACAAGGAUGACACACAAAUUCUUCAAUAAUUCUAUAUUUUU